rnacentral:misc_RNA from 1 species
UUUGGAUUUGGGGGGUUUUGCUGGCCUCUUAAAAAAGGUUCAGCUCCCCUGAAAUGCAUUAGCAGAACAAUCCUUGUUCAUUGGCGUGAUAACUAUCUAUGCUAUUGAAUGUGAGGUGCAGUUCAGCUUUCUAACAGUCCUUUGGACAAAUUCAUCAUUAAUGUGACCUCAAAUCAGGUAGGACUACCCGCUGAACUUAA